rnacentral:rRNA from 1 species
GUGGGGAAUAUUGGACAAUGGGCGCAAGCCUGAUCCAGCCAUGCCGCGUGAGUGAUGAAGGCCCUAGGGUUGUAAAGCUCUUUCACCGGUGAAGAUAAUGACGGUAACCGGAGAAGAAGCCCCGGCUAACUUCGUGCCAGCAGCCGCGGUAAUACGAAGGGGGCUAGCGUUGUUCGGAAUUACUGGGCGUAAAGCGCACGUAGGCGGACAUUUAAGUCAGGGGUGAAAUCCCGGGGCUCAACCUCGGAACUGCCUUUGAUACUGGGUGUCUCGGGUCCGGAAGAGGUGAGUGGAAUUCCGAGUGUAGAGGUGAAAUUCGUAGAUAUUCGGAGGAACACCAGUGGCGAAGGCGGCUCACUGGUCCGGUACUGACGCUGAGGUGCGAAAGCGUGGGGAGCAAACAGGAUUAGAAACCCGUGUAGUCC